GACAGAGGCCUCGAGCGUUAGGCGGAAUCACUGGGCUUAAAGCGUGUGUAGGCGGAAGAGUAAGUACCUUGUGAAAUCCCACGGCUCAACCGUGGAACUGCUGGGUAUACUGGUUGUCUUGAGCCAGCUAGGGGCGAGCGGAACAGACGGUGGAGCGGUGAAAUGCGUAGAUAUCGUCUGGAACGCCGAAGGUGAAAACAGCUCGCUGGGGCUGCGCUGACGCUGAGACACGAAGCCAGGGGAGCGAACGGG
rnacentral:rRNA from 1 species